rnacentral:rRNA from 1 species
UGGGGAAUUUUGCACAAUGGGGGAAACCCUGAUGCAGCGACGCCGCGUGAUUUAGAAGGCCUUCGGGUUGUAAAAAUCUUUUCUAUGGGAAGAAAAUGAUAGUACCAUAGGAAUAAGGACCGGCUAAUUACGUGCCAGCAGCCGCGGUAAUACGUAAGGUCCGAGCGUUGUCCGGAAUCAUUGGGCGUAAAGGGUACGUAGGCGGGUAAGCAAGUUAGAAGUGAAAUCCUAUAGCUCAACUAUAGUAAGCUUUUAAAACUGCUCAUCUUGAUGUAUGGAAGGGAAAGUGGAAUUCCUAUUGUAGCGGUGAAAUGCACAGAUAUUAGGAGGAAUACCGGUGGCGGCGGCGACUUUCUGGCCAUACCCUGACGCUGAGGUACGAAAGCGUGGGUAGCAAACAGG